rnacentral:rRNA from 1 species
CCUACGGGGGGCAGCAGUGAGGAAUAUUGGUCAAUGGACGAGAGUCUGAACCAGCCAAGUAGCGUGAAGGAUGACUGCCCUAUGGGUUGUAAACUUCUUUUAUAAAGGAAUAAAACGAGGCACGUGUGCCUUUUUGCAUGUACUUUAUGAAUAAGGAUCGGCUAACUCCGUGCCAGCAGCCGCGGUAAUACGGAGGAUCCGAGCGUUAUCCGGAUUUAUUGGGUUUAAAGGGAGCGUAGAUGGGUUGUUAAGUCAGUGGUGAAAGUUUGCGGCUCAACCGUAAAAUUGCAAUUGAUACUGGCAGUCGUGAGUACAGUUGAGGUAGGCGGAAUUCGUGGUGUAGCGGUGAAAUGCUUAGAUAUCACGAAGAACCCCGAUUGCGAAGGCAGCUUACUAAACUGUGACUGACAUUGAUGCUCGAAAGUGUGGGUAUCAAACAGGAUUAGAUACCCGAGUAGUC